rnacentral:lncRNA from 1 species
ACUAAUCUCCUUUUCUCUUGUAUUUUUCAUUUAGUUUCUGAAAUUGUACUCAGUGUAAUCCUUCCAAUUUAUAUAAAUGAAAAGAUAUUUUUGGUCAUAUUAAAUUAUUGCAAUUGUUAUUCAAAUAUAUAUUUGCAAAUGAUAUAGUAAGUUCCUUGAAAAUAAAAAAAAAAUAAAAAACAAUCAAGCAUUGCAUUUCAUGCAUCGUUUGCAUAAGCAGGUUUUCGUCAGAUGUCUAAUUGAUGUUU